CAGCAGCCGCGGUAAUACCAGCACCUCGAGUGGUCAGGAGGUUUAUUGGGCCUAAAGCAUCCGUAGCCGGUUGCAUAAGUUUUCGGUUAAAUCUAUGCGCUUAACGUAUAGGCCGCCGAAAAUACUGUGCAGCUAGGGAGUGGGAGAGGUACACGGUACUCGAUAGGAAGGGGUAAAAUCCUUUGAUCUAUUGAUGACCACCUGUGGCGAAGGCGGUGUACCAGAACACGUUCGACGGUGAGGGAUGAAAGCUGGGGGAGCAAACAGGAUUAGAUACCCCCGUAGUCCCUGUCUCUUAUAC
rnacentral:rRNA from 1 species